GGGCGCGUAGCUCAGCUGGUAGAGCAACUGACUUUUAAUCAGUAGGUCUCGGGUUCGAACCCCGACGCGCUCACCA
rnacentral:tRNA from 1 species